UACGUAGGGUGCAAGCGUUAAUCGGAAUACUGGGCGUAAAGCGUGCGCAGGCGGUUUCGCAAGUCAGAUGUGAAAUCCCCGGGCUCAACCUGGGAACUGCAUUGAAACUACGAGGCUAGAGUGUGUCAGAGGGGGGUAGAAUCCACGUGUAGCAGUGAAAUGCGUAGAGAUGUGGAGGAAUACCGAUGGCGAAGGCAGCCCCCUGGGAUAACACUGACGCUCAUGCACGAAAGCGUGGGGAGCAAACAGGAUUAGAAAACCCGU
rnacentral:rRNA from 1 species